GCCUGCGACCCGAAGCCAUCAGCUGGGCUUAGAGCUGGCCCUAAGGACUGAAAUGCCAGCAGAGGGAGGACAAGCCACCACCGCUCCCAAAGGUGAAGGCUCGGGACAGCAGCGACCUCCUCUGCAUCCCUGCUCUGCCGUCACAGCACCAGCCGCACCAGCCUGACCGAGCCAGCGCCGCGAGGACACCCCGAUCCAGACCAGCCCCUGCAUCCUCCGCCAGCACCGAUGCUCCGCGCCGCAGCAGGAGAGGUGCGCGCUGCUGGCCCGGCUGCUGCUCCCGCCCUCGGCCCCUGCACACCGUGAACAGGGACAUCACCCACAGCCACCGUUCCUGCUCCUGCUCACGCAGGGUACAACCCACAGCAGGGGUGUUCAGGUGCUGCCCCGAUUACCCCCCCUCCCAGGUGAACAUUCCUCUGCCAGGGAGCGCGGAAAGCCCAGGCUCCAGGAGCAUGCCCUGCAAACCGGCAGCAUUCAUCGCCAUUGUCUAUUGAGCCUCGCCGCCGAAGGAGAGCCUUUGAGCCAGCUCAAGAGGUAGCACAAGCUUCAGGAAGGGAAGACAAAAGGGAGGCCGUGCAGUCAGCAACUUCAUUUCAAGUGUAGGGGCAAGGGGAGAUGCUGGAGCCCUUCACAGCCAAGUGUAAACGUUUUUUUCCCCUCGACUGCGGAAAGGUGAAGCAAGGACAUCUGCAGCCAAGCGGCAUCCAGACUUAGAGAGCUCUGGCAACAGCAUUCAGUUCUGCAGCACUUUUAAUUUAUAACUGUGCUCACGGUAACCUUGGAGAAAUUCAGAAAUUUGACUCCUAAUCCCUAAAAUUAAAGACUAUCCAGAAAUCAUAAUUUGGGAGUUUUCUUCCUUCUGAGCUUUCCACUAGAGGACUUUGUUUCUGGCUUAAGAAAGUUGGCUUUCACAGACAGCCUUAAGUAUUAAAUCCAUCACUGACAUAUGGCUCAUCAUUCCAGAGGAUCCCAAAGCCCUCUGCAAGGGAAACUCCACCUCCCGGGCAGACUGUGUGGACUGAGUUCAGAGCUCCUGGGAUGUAAAACCUGACUUGCCUGUUCGCUUAGAAGUAGUAGCAGGUCUAUAAACCUCUUUAUGCUGUCCAAGCACGAAGCUUUCCAGCACCGAGAUGCUUGAAACGGAGCCACAGGCACCUGAACCAGUGCUGCGAGGCAGCCACCUCUGGGCGGGGGGAAGGGGCGAUGCGUGGGCAGCACAGCCGUGCCACCACACCUCUGCCUUCCCCAAAGGUGAGUUAUCACCCCACAGCACAGCAAACAAUAAACCAGAGCCCGUGUUUUGUGUGGCUGGCAGGUGACAGGUAUAGACAUCACUGCUGGUCUCCCUGGGCGUGCUCCAGAUGGGAGCUUGCUUUCACCCCCAGGCCCCGUGUUUAGCUUAAAGCCUG